rnacentral:tRNA from 1 species
GGGGUUGUAGCUCAAUAGUAGAGCACUCACCUAGCAUACAAGAGGCACUGAGUUCGAUUCUCAGCACCA